CAGCAGCCGCGGGAAUACAGAGGGUGCGAGCGUUAAUCGGAUUUACUGGGCGUAAAGCGCGCGUAGGUGGUUUGUUAAGUUGGAUGUGAAAUCCCCGGGCUCAACCUGGGAACUGCAUCCAAAACUGGCAAGCUAGAGUAUGGUAGAGGGUGGUGGAAUUUCCUGUGUAGCGGUGAAAUGCGUAGAUAUAGGAAGGAACACCAGUGGCGAAGGCGACCACCUGGACUGAUACUGACACUGAGGUGCGAAAGCGUGGGGAGCAAACAGGAUUAGAUACCCCGGUAGUCCCUGUCUCUUAUAC
rnacentral:rRNA from 1 species